UGGUGGAUGUCUCUGGAGCUCCAGAAC
rnacentral:piRNA from 1 species